rnacentral:rRNA from 1 species
GCGCCAUCAGAUCGAGUGCCAGCAGCCGCGGUAAUACGGAGGGUGCGAGCGUUAAUCGGAAUAACUGGGCGUAAAGGGCAUGUAGCGGUAAGUUAAGUCAGACUGUGAAAUCCCCGAGCUUAACUUGGGAACGGCAUUUGAGACUGGCGGCUAGAGUUUUGUAGAGGGGGUAGAAUUCCAGGUGUAGCGGUGAAAUGCGUAGAGAUCUGGAGGAAUACCGGUGGCGAAGGCGGCCCCCUGGACAAGGACUGACGCUGAGGUGCGAAAGCGUGGUAGCAGACAGGAUUAGAUACCCUGGUAGUCCACGCUGUAAACGAUGUCGAUUUGGAGGUUGUGGCCUAGUGUUAUGGCGUCCGAAGCUAACGCGAUAAAUCGACCGCCUGGGGAGUACGGCCGCAAGGUUA